CGGCGACAAAGUCACAGUCGACUUCGUACGCGAUAAUCGCUCACCUCCCCGCACCUCCCCAUUGCCGAUGCUCGUCGCUCGAAUUCCAUUCACGCCGGAUCCAGUUUCUCCAGAAGUCGCAGGAAAACUGCACCGAUUUGCAACGACCGGAGGAUUCUCGAAAGGUUCCCCGCAAAAAUCGCGAUCAAAUUCUAUUGGAACGCCGAAGACUGGUCAGUGAAAUCGUGACGCUUUAAAGGGAAAACUGCUUUUGCAGCAGAGUCAGCUACGCGGAUGAAAUUGCACGAAAUGGCGCACGAAGUUCGGGAAACCAUUUUGUCGGAACUUUUGAACAAUAGCGUAAAACUGUCAACCUAGGAGCUGUCUACAAUUUCCAAUGGUUCGCAGAGUAAUACCGGAAAACUUCGGCAGAGUCUAGAAGCCGUACUUACGGAUUUCGACUUUCUCGGAACGGUGCAGACAAAUGCAACUUUGAAGAGAACUUCGGAACGUAGCGGCUUUCGUUUCGAAUGGAAGAAGCAGCGUUUAGCCGAGCGAGAGUCCGACAAACGCGCUGUGAACGCAGCCUAAGUUGCACCGAGGGGCCGUCGUUUCGGCGUCGCGCGAAUGUAUCCGAGCCGCAUCGGGCCGAGUCGCGUUGCAUCGUCCAAGUUCUCCACGCUAAGAGGCUUCCAGCUGUGGAACCACAAAUUUGCGUGGCAGUCGCGCGUCGCGUCGCGCAGCGUCGGCUAAAUUAGAAAAACCGACUGACUAACGCGGGCCGGUUGCUUCCCCCCGUCUCAUGUCCCCCAUCGAAUCUCGUUAAAAUAACUUUUCGCAUUAUCGCGACCGCAUGCGCUUCCCGGAGGAACGACCGUUUUCCAAAGCGAUCGGGAACUGUCGUGGAGCCGCGAACUCGCAUGAAAAGUUUAUUAUUAGGAUCGCCGCCGGAAUCGUUCGUUCUUGAAACGCUCUCCGCGGGCCGGGCCGAUUCCCAAUUACCGGGCCGGAACGUUAAUUCGGCGGAGUCGAAAGUCUCUUACAUGAUCAAAGAAUUCGAGAUUGUGUUUCACGGGUGUAAACGAGAAAUAUUUUUGGUGCUGGAUGUCGCAAGUUUUCGAUAGUCCGCGACAGAGUUCGGCGUGUAUUCGAAUUGUUUCGAAUUAAGUAUUUCUCGUAGAUAGUUACCCGAAUGAAUUCCUUUUUAAUCGAAUAUUUUAUUCGAACAACGAUUAUUCAUUGCUCGUCUUAAA